UCGGGAAUAUUGCGCAAUGGAGGAAACUCUGACGCAGUGACGCCGCGUAUAGGAAGAAGGUUUUCGGAUUGUAAACUAUUGUCGUUAGGGGAAGAUAAAAGACUGUACCUAAGGAGGAAGCCCCGGCUAACUAUGUGCCAGCAGCCGCGGUAAUACAUAGGGGGCAAGCGUUAUCCGGAAUUAUUGGGUGUAAAGGGUGCGUAGACGGAAGAACAAGUUGGUUGUGAAAUCCCUCGGCUCAACUGAGGAACUGCAACCAAAACUAUUCUCCUUGAGUGUCGGAGAGGAAAGUGGAAUUCCUAGUGUAGCGGUGAAAUGCGUAGAUAUUAGGAGGAACACCAGUGGCGAAGGCGACUUUCUGGACGAUAACUGACGUUGAGGCACGAAAGUGUGGGGAGCAAACAGGAUUAGAUACC
rnacentral:rRNA from 1 species